rnacentral:piRNA from 1 species
GUGAAGUCAGCGGAGAAUGAAGAGUCU